rnacentral:rRNA from 1 species
UACGGGGGGGGCAAGCGUUGUUCGGAAUUACUGGGCGUAAAGGGCUCGUAGGCGGCCAACUAAGUCAGACGUGAAAUCCCCAGGCUCAACCUGGGAACUGCGUCUGAUACUGGAUGGCUUGAAUUCGGGAGAGGGAUGCAGAAUUCCAGGUGUAGCGGUGAAAUGCGUAGAUAUCUGGAGGAAUACCGGUGGCGAAGGCGACUUCCUGGCCUGUUCUUGACGCUGAGGCGCGAAAGCUAGGGGAGCAAACGGG